rnacentral:rRNA from 1 species
GAAGAGCCUAUGAAGUAUCAGCUAGUUGGCGGUGUAAUGGACCACCAAGGCUAUGACGCUUAGGGGAGCUGAGAGGCUGACCCCCACCGAUGGGACUGAGACACGGCCCAUACACCUACGGGUGGCUGCAGUCGAGAAUCUUCCGCAAUGGACGAAAGUCUGACGGAGCGACGUCGCGUGAUUGAAGAAGCUCUUCGGAGUGUAAAAAUCUUUUAUGAGGGAAGAAGUUUAUUGACGGUACCUCAUGAAUAAGGGGCUCCUAAUCUCGUGCCAGCAGGAGCGGUAAUACGAGAGCCCCAAGCGUUAUCCGGAAUCAUUGGGCGUAAAGGGUGCGUAGGCGGUUGUAUUAGUCGUUUGUUAAAUCCCCGGGCUUAACCCGAGGCGGGCGAACGAAACGGUAUAACUAGAGAAUGUGAGAGGUGUACAGAACUUAUGGUGUAGGGGUGAAAUCCGUUGAUAUCAUAGGGAAUACCAAAAGCGAAGGCAGUACACUGGCACAUAUCUGACGUUCAAGCACGAAAGCGUGGGUAGCGAAUGGGAUUAGAU